GCGGAGAUUUCGGAGUGGCCAAACGAGCAAGCUUCAGGAGCUUGUGGCUCAGUGCCUACGUGGGUUCGAAUCCUACUCUCCGCA
rnacentral:tRNA from 1 species